UACGGGGGGGGCAAGCGUUGUUCGGAAUUACUGGGCGUAAAGGGCUCGUAGGCGGCCAACUAAGUCCGACGUGAAAUCCCCAGGCUUAACCUGGGAACUGCGUCGGAUACUGGAUGGCUUGAAUCCGGGAGAGGGAUGCAGAAUUCCAGGUGUAGCGGUGAAAUGCGUAGAUAUGACAUAGAACACCAAUUGCGAAGGCAGCUCGUUACACGAAGAUUGACUCUGAGGCACGAAAGCGUGGGGAUCAAACAGG
rnacentral:rRNA from 1 species